rnacentral:rRNA from 1 species
CAUGCAAGUCGAACGGUAACGCGGAGAGCUUGCUCUCUGGCGACGAGUGGCGGACGGGUGAGUAAUACUUGGGAAUCUGCCCAGUAGUGGGGGACAACAUUCGGAAACGGAUGCUAAUACCGCAUACGCACUACGGUGGAAAGUGGGGGAUCUUCGGACCUCACGCUAUUGGAUGAGCCCAAGUCGGAUUAGCUUGUAGGUAGGGUAACGGCCUACCUAGGCGACGAUCCGUAGCUGGUCUGAGAGGACGAUCAGCCACACUGGGACUGAGACACGGCCCAGACUCCUACGGGAGGCAGCAGUGGGGAAUAUUGGACAAUGGGCGCAAGCCUGAUCCAGCAAUGCCGCGUGUGUGAAGAAGGCCUGCGGGUCGUAAAGCACUUUCAGUAGAGAAGAAAAGCCUAGGGUUAAUACCCCUGAGUCUUGACGUAACCUACAGAAGAAGCACCGGCUAACUCCGUGCCAGCAGCCGCGGUAAUACGGAGGGUGCGAGCGUUAAUCGGAAUUACUGGGCGUAAAGCGCGCGUAGGCGGUUAUUUAAGUCCGAUGUGAAAGCCCUGGGCUUAACCUGGGAACGGCAUGGGAUACUGGGUAACUGGAGUGUAGUAGAGGGGAGUGGAAUUUCCGGUGUAGCGGUGAAAUGCGUAGAGAUCGGAAGGA